GACGAACGCUGGCGGCGUGCUUAACACAUGCAAGUCGAACGGCAAGGCCCUGCUUUUGCGGGGUGUUCGAGUGGCGAACGGGUGAGUAACAUGUGAGUAACCUGCCCUUGACUUUGGGAUAACUUCAGGAGACUGGGGCUCAUACCGGAUAGGUGCUCCUCCUGCAUGGUGUGGGUUGGAAAGUAUCGGCGGUUGGGGAUGGACGCGCGGCUUAUCAGCUUGUUGGUGGGGUAGUGGCUUACUCAGGCAUUGACGGGUAGCCGGCCUGAGAGGGUGAGCAGAUACGCUGGACCUGAGAUACGGCCCAGACUCAUACGGGAGGCAACAGUGGGGUGUAUGGCACAGUGAGCGGGAGCCUAAUGCAGCAACGCCGCGUGCGGGGUGACGGCCUUGCGGUUGUGAAGCGCUUUCGCCUGGGAGGUAACGUGAAUGACGGUAAUGGGUAAAGAAGCACCGGCUAACUACGUG
rnacentral:rRNA from 1 species